GCUUCACGAUGCGUAAAAAAUUCUCUCUCUAUAUGUCAAGCUCCAUCGCAAGCUUCAUUGUAGGUCUUCGCUCUGUCCAUCUCGAGCUCCAUUGCAGAUCAGUUUGAGAUCUACAAGCUUCAGUAGAUCUACCUUGUUCUUCACAUUUUCUGUAGAUUUGAUUUCUGCUACUUUGAAGACAUCGAUUGGUUAAUUCACUCUCUAUCAAGCUAAGAGGUUGCCUAGAACUCAGCCUGCUCAGAAUCCUGCAAGGAUGGUUCUUGUGGACAGACCAACAGAAGGAUCCCGAUCUGCAC